GUAGGUGGCGAGCGUUAUCCGGAAUCAUUGGGCGUAAAGAGGGAGCAGGCGGCAGUGCAGGUCUGCGGUGAAAGACCGGAGCUAAACUUCGGUAAGCCGUGGAAACCGCACAGCUAGAGAGCAUCAGAGGAUCGCGGAAUUCCAUGUGUAGCGGUGAAAUGCGUAGAUAUAUGGAGGAACACCAGUGGCGAAGGCGGCGGUCUGGGGUGCAGCUGACGCUCAGUCCCGAAAGCGUGGGGAGCAAAUAGGAUUAGAUACCCUAGUAGUCCACGCCGUAAACGAUGAGUGCUAAGUGUUGGGGGUCAGACCUUAGUGCUGGAGUUAACGCAAUAAGCACUCCGCCUGAGUAGUACGUUCGCAAGGUUGAAACUCAAAGGA
rnacentral:rRNA from 1 species